UACGUAGGGUGCAAGCGUUAAUCGGAAUUACUGGGCGUAAAGCGUGCGCAGGCGGUGAUGUAAGACAGUUGUGAAAUCCCCGGGCUUAACCUGGGAACUGCAUUUUGUGACUGCAUAGCUAGAGUCUGUCAGAGGGGGGUGGAAUUCCACGUGUAGCAGUGAAAUGCGUAGAGAUGUGGAGGAACACCGAUGGCGAAGGCAGCCCCCUGGGAUAAGACUGACGCUCAUGUACGAAAGCGUGGGGAGCAAACAGG
rnacentral:rRNA from 1 species